GAGAGCAGAGACGAUGCCAGCCCGGGGAGGGCACCUGGGGAAAGCGUACGGACACACCCCCGCGUUCGGGAGGCGGCCUUUCCUUGGGCCCCCUAUUCCUGUGGCCUUUGCCCAGUGAAAUUUUGGCAAGAAGGCCGGGCUACCCCAGGGACUGGUUACCUGUGGGAGGCGGAAUAGAGGCCAGGUGAUUGAAAUUUAAGUUGCCUUCCACUUGAAGUAGGACAGUAAGAACUAGGAGAGAGGAGAUGAUGAGUCUUGUUUUGUAUCUGUUGGAUUUAGGUACAGAACUGAAGCACAGUUGCGGUGCAGCAGGGAUUAAGUGCAUCGGUUUUGGAGCAAAAAUGCCUAGGGUCCAAGUGCUGGUUCCUUUUCUUACUCAAUGUGUUACUUUGAGCCACUUAUUUAACUUUCCAGUGUUAAGAUGGGGAUAAUAAUAGGGCCAUCCUCAGGGGCUGGUUUAAGAUAGAGUUUAUACACAAAGUUAGAGUCCUUAGAACUCUUGGGCUCCAUAAAGGUUAAAUGGGAUUAUUUGUUGCUGGCAGGUCAUGAACUGGCAAUAUCCAGUCAACAACUGGCAAUGUGGCACUGGAGUUUAGGGUAGAAAUGAGUGAUGGGAUUAUGAAUUAUUUUCAUGUAGCAAUAGUGGUAAUCACACAUUAUAUGGAAUGACAUAGUAAAAAGAGAAGCAGACCAAAAAAGAGGCCAGAACUUAGGGGAGGUAAAGUUUCCAUUUCCAGUGUUAUUUCAGUAGGAUACUGUUUUUCCUUACUAGUUAACAGGGCUGUCGGUUGCAGUGAUUGUCUCUAAAUAGUGACUUGAUGAUGGUCUGUUUAGAAUCCUAAGAGAAAAUUUUUACUAUUUUCAACACACUUCAUUCGUUUUUACUUCAUAGUGAAAAUUUGUUCUGUAUGUUUUAUGUAUGCCAGUAAUAAAGACAUUUGACUAGGUAGAAAUUUGUUUUGGCUGGUCAUUGUGAUAACAAGAUAACAAAAUAUCUUACCUAACAGUAGAGCCUCCCUUUUCCAUUUUAGCAGUUCAAAGGAAAUCACUCAUUAAGAACAUGUCAUUUCAUGACUGCCAUCACUCGUUUGAAUGAGGAUGAGAUUGUUUUUCACAUUGUACCCUUUGAUCUUUCCUACUCAAGCAGCCUGGACCCUGGUCCAUUAAAGUAUUUCCACGAUUGGACCAUCUAUUCCUGAACCAAGUAGGAGAGUUUCUACUUUGAAUUCUCCUUCUGCAUUUUAGAAAUUAGGGGAAUUCUGUCCUUAUUGUAGAUCACUUAUGGAUUAUUAGAUGGUACAUCUGUCAUUAUGUCUAUCCCGGUGUGAUUGUGUUACAAUAAAAAUCGAAUCAACACAAA